UACGGAGGGAGCUAGCGUUAUUCGGAAUUACUGGGCGUAAAGCGCACGUAGGCGGCUUUGUAAGUUAGAGGUGAAAGCCCAGAGCUCAACUCUGGAAUUGCCUUUAAGACUGCAUCGCUUGAAUCCAGGAGAGGUGAGUGGAAUUCCGAGUGUAGAGGUGAAAUUCGUAGAUAUUCGGAAGAACACCAGUGGCGAAGGCGGCUCACUGGACUGGUAUUGACGCUGAGGUGCGAAAGCGUGGGGAGCAAACAGG
rnacentral:rRNA from 1 species